rnacentral:piRNA from 1 species
UAAGAUCAACGAGAGAUGGCCAU